GUUUUUCUGUUUAUUAUUAUUUUCCAUCGCUUUGUUUAUCUCAUUACAACAACAAAUUUCAAUAAUUUAUACAUUUUGGUAAUUUAAAUUAUUAUUAGUCAACCAUUAGAAAUGGAUCACAGCACAAUUAUCUCAUCAGCCGAAGAACAAUUACGAAAUUAUGGUGCCUUCUUAGAUGGUCAUGAUAAGAAAUUAACAAAAAUUCUCAAUAAAAACCAAGUAGCGAACAACGAGCGUCCCCUACUAAGGGAUCCCUUAGUACAGAUUAAUUAUGCUGCCCAGGAGGAGGAAUUUAUGUUGGUCAAGCUUUUGGAAUCGGAAAGAAUGCUUAAUAAGGUUCUACUGACCUUUGGUCAUUUGUGUGCUGAGAUUGAUGAUAUUAGUCGGGAGGCCAAAGAAAUGCAAUUGAAGUUUCUGUUUAAGGAUGAAGAGUUGCUGGUCAUUAUGCAGAAUAUUGUAGAGGAUGAAAAUGAAGGGGAUUUAAAUAAUAGGAACAGUAGUGUUAAUAACAACAAUAAUAUGGUCAUGUUGAAAAUGAGCGAAUCCAUGGAAUUUUUAUGUCAAAUGCAGUUUCUACUACAACGUUGCAUAUUGUUGGGUAAUAAUUUGCUGCAUCAGUGCGGUGCUGUGUUGGCACAUGAAAAGACUACAAAGGGAGUAGAAGUGAAAUUAGUGCACAUUUGUGAUUAUUUAUCGAAUUUGUUCUUGAACAUUUUAAUUUUUGAUGAGAUUUUAUAUCGUUCCAACUUCGCUCGAUAUUGGCCUUCUUACAAGAAAACUAUAGAAGCCAUUACUCAAAGUGGCACUUCGUGGGAUAAUUGCACUACAUCGGAACUUAAUGGUUUAAGAAAUUGUUUGCAGGAAUUGGAUUUCUUAUUUACCGGAUGUAUAUUUAGGCACUUUCUCGACAGUACGUUUAGCAUAAAAGAGAAGAUAGGUCCCCAAGGAGUGGGUCAUUUAAGCCAGCAAUUCAAUGAAUAUCUUAAACUACAACUACAAGAAAUCGAUAAAACGAAUCCGAGUGAAAUGAACGCCUUCAGCGAUACCUACAACAUAAUAAAACUCAACGCUUUCUGUGUAGUAUUCCAUGACUUUUGUGGUCAAGUCGAUACAAAAUCUAUUAAACUUUUAAUAGAAUUAAAUAGCAAACAUCAAGCCAUUGUGCUUAUUGGUAAUAUACCUUGGUCUUCAAGCUAUUUUUUACGCAAAAAUGCUUUAACUCUUAUUAAAACGCAUGAAAAACUAUUAAUGGAUUUUCGACGACAACAGCAACUAUUUCUACAGCAACAUGGUCAGAAAUUGACAAAAGAUUGCCGUUUAUAUUGUAGUGAAAUAAGUCUGUGGGUAUUGAAAAUUGAAAAAACGUUAAGUUGUGGACCCUUUGAAUUGCGUAUUGAACAAUUUAAGGAGUUGACAACAUUAUUGGUGCAAGGAAUGCGGACUUCAGGGCAUUUGAGUUAUUUAAUUAAGGGCAUAGUAAAUUCCCAUGAAAAUCUUCAAGUACCCAUGACUAAACAAACUCUAUUAGCAAUUUGUAAACUUUUGGAAAUGUUAAAAUUGAUUCAGUUGUGUUUCAACGAUCAUGCCACAAAUAUCGCUAAAGUAAUACAUUGCAUUUUACAGUAUUUUCAAUAUAAAGUAUUACAAUUGAUAAAUGCUUGCAAGAAAAAAAUCAUCUCCUCCAAGUUACGCGAUAAAAGUGUUGAUGCUUUAGCUGCUUUAAAAAUAACCGAACGUUGUCUUCAUGGCCCUCCCAGUAAAGUUCGCAUUUUAGUGGCGAAACUAGCUUUUGAUGCAUCCAGUGCUAAAUAUAAGAUUUUGUCAAGUGAACAACAAGAACGUUUUCGUAGCCUUAUUAAACGUAUAGAAAUGAUCAGUGAUUUACAAGAUAACAUACACGAAAUGUGUGAUACUUCAUUCCUCUUUUGGCAUCAAUCAAUUUUGAGAGCUUAUCUUAAACAAAUUGUUGAUAAAAAAUUAGACUUUAAUUCAUUCCAGUAUCUUAUACAAGCCUCAACUGAAUGUGGCGAUUCGUUAAAUUUCCUUAAUCUCAAAGAUUUAAAUGUUUCCAAAGAUUUACAAAAAUCCACUUAUGAAAGUAUACGUUCUGAGAUUAUAAGUAAAUUAUGUGCUCAAAUUGAAAUAUUUUUGCGUUUAGAAGUACAUGCCAAUCUGCAAGUUGAGAAAAUGAAUCCCUUCGAACAGGGCAUUAAUGAUUAUCAAGAAUUGAUAAAUGUUUGCCCUUUACAAGUAAAUGGCAAUUAUAUAAUCUUAAAAGAUCACAUAGAAAAUUAUUUGAGUGCCAUGUUUUAUAACUUAACUACCAUAUCACUGCACGAUUGGAAAACCUAUGAAGAAAUGAGACAUUUAGCUAAUUAUCGUUUAUUACUCCAUCCUGUCGAAGAUUAUUUACCCAAUCAAACCUUAGAACAGGGUAUAGAUAUUUUAGAGAUUAUGCGUAAGAUACAUAUUUUCGUUUCCAAAUAUGUUUAUAAUAUGAAUUCUCAAAUAUUUGUGGAACAACAAAGUUCCAACAAGCACUUGGAUACUAUAGGUAUACGACAUGUGGCGAAUUCUUUGAGGACCCAUGGCACCGGAGUGAUAAAUACCACCGUCAAUUUUACCUAUCAGUUUUUAAGGCAAAAAUUCUAUACAUUUUCACAAUUUCUUUACGAUGAACAAAUAAAAGCUCGUUUAAUGAAGGAGUUGAGAUCAUUUGCUGAACGUAAACAACAGGAUGAGUAUCCUUUGUAUCCGUAUGAACGGGCAGAUGCUUUUAAUAAGGACAUUCGCAAAUUAGGUUUAGCGAAUGAUGGUCAAACAUAUAUGGAUUUGUUUAGGAAAGUCAUAACACAUGUGGGCAAUGCAAUGGGUUAUAUCCGUUUAGUACGUUCCGGCAGUAUACAUGCCAAUUAUAGCGCCAGUUUAUAUUUACCAAAGUUUGAUGAAAACUUAAAAUUUGUACCCCAAUGUAAUGAGCAACAAUUGAGUGAGGUAGUACAAAUGGCUGCUGAAAAUGUUGAAACAAAUAUUAAAAAUCUAGCUAAAAGUUUUGCAGAUAAUACGGAUUAUUUUAAGCUUCUCGUUGAGGCCUUUCAGCCCUUCUUUCGCAAUCCCCACAAUUUACACUUGCGCAAUUUCUAUCUAAUUGUUCCUCCUCUUAUCAUGAACUAUGUGGAGUAUAUGCUGGCUGUUAAAUCCAAAAUAAAUAAAAAAGAUCGCGAAGAAGCUGUUCUUUUCGAUGAUGGUUUCGCCGUAGGUCUAACCUAUAUACUAAAGCUGCUAAAUCAAAUCGGAGACUUUAAUUCACUCGAGUGGUUCUCAACUGUACGAGAACGUUUUGAAGCUGAAAGACGAAAAAUAAAAGAAAUGUUACUGGAGAUAAAUAGUGUUGCUAAUAACACGGCCGCUAGAGCAAAUACAAAUACUGCAGCCAAACAGGCGAGUGAAAAUGAAAAACUACAACAAACAUUAGUGCUAACGGAAAGACGUAUUAAUGCUCAUCAAAUGGAAUAUAAUUUAUUGCGUUAUAAUUUAUGCAGUGCUAAGAUAUUUUUUCAAUAAGUGAAAAAUGAAAACAGAUCUCACUCCACGAGAUGUUGUGCGUUUGUCUCUAAACUCUACAAACUUAAAUCAUUUCAACGAAGGAUACUGGAACCAGUUCUUUAAACAAUGACAUUUGUUUGAAUUUAGUCAACCUAUAGGAUAAUUCGGGGACUUUCUAUUCUCUCUGCUUUUUACAAAAGCUAUAGGAAACUAGAAGAUAAACGCUAUAUUUUAUAAGUUUCAAUACUCCCGGUAUAGUGCACUGGCAGUUUCUUAGAGAUCUGUUAUAGCACUACAAUGUCACAGAGAACAAACUCUACAAGUAAGUUUAAGUUAAGAUCUUAACCAAUAUUAAUUAUAUCUAAGACAAACAAAAAGGUUCUAUAUUAUUAAAGAAAAGUUUUGAUAUCAAAAUUUAUCUGAAUAUAGCACACAUUUUCAAAAAGGCCUCGACCUAGAAUGUAUAUUUUUUAUCUAAAUUCCAUAAAUUUAGUAAAAUUAUUGAGACAAGUAUAUUAUUUUAAAUAACUAAACAUUGUUAAAUUAUUCAAUUUUUAUAAAAAUGCA